UACGAAGGGGGCUAGCGUUGUUCGGAAUUACUGGGCGUAAAGCGCGCGCAGGCGGCUAUCCAAGUCAGUGGUGAAAGCCCGGAGCUCAACUCCGGAACUGCCAUUGAAACUGUUUAGCUUGAGGACGAGAGAGGUGAGUGGAAUUCCCAGUGUAGAGGUGAAAUUCGUAGAUAUUGGGAAGAACACCGGUGGCGAAGGCGGCUCACUGGCUCGUAUCUGACGCUCAGGCGCGACAGCGUGGGGAUCAAAAAGG
rnacentral:rRNA from 1 species